GUGGGGAAUCUUCCGCAAUGGACGCAAGUCUGACGGAGCAACGCCGCGUGUACGAUGAAGGCCUUCGGGUUGUAAAGUACUGUCUUCAGGGAAGAACGGCAGGUAUGAAAACAUUGUAUCUGCAUGACGGUACCUGAGGAGGAAGCCCCGGCUAACUACGUGCCAGCAGCCGCGGUAAUACGUAGGGGGCAAGCGUUGUCCGGAAUCAUUGGGCGUAAAGGGCGCGUAGGCGGAUUUUUAAGUCUGGUGUGAAAACCUAGGGCUCAACCCUGGGACUGCAUCGGAAACUGGAGAUCUUGAGGACAGGAGAGGAAAGUGGAAUUCCACGUGUAGCGGUGAAAUGCGUAGAUAUGUGGAGGAACACCAGUGGCGAAGGCGACUUUCUGGACUGUAACUGACGCUGAGGCGCGAAAGCGUGGGGAGCAAACAGG
rnacentral:rRNA from 1 species